UACGUAGGGUGCAAGCGUUAAUCGGAAUUACUGGGCGUAAAGCGUGCGCAGGCGGUUGUGCAAGACCGAUGUGAAAUCCCCGGGCUUAACCUGGGAAUGGCAUUGGUGACUGCACGGCUAGAGUGUGUCAGAGGGGGGUAGAAUUCCACGUGUAGCAGUGAAAUGCGCAGAUAUCAGGAGGAACACCGAUGGCGAAGGCAGCUCGCUGGGACGGUACUGACGCUGAGGCGCGAAAGCGUGGGGAGCAAACAGG
rnacentral:rRNA from 1 species